AUGAGAGAUCAGGCGUGGCUGAUAGAUGUGACAAGUACGAGUCAGCGCCUCCUAUCAUCUGUUCGACAAAAUGCCCACACUAACACUGAUGAUGGCGAAGACAUAAUUAGCAGCCUACCAGACUCCCUCCUCUGCCACAUCCUCUCCUUUCUCCCAAUCCGAGACUCUGUUGCAACAAGCAUUUUGUCGAGCAGGUGGAGGCCUCUCUGGACUCUCGUCCCUAUUCUUCACUUGGACCAGAAACAACUUAUAGAGCCAUACCCUGAUGAAAGGAAUAAAAAAUUUAAAUUUGUGGAUAUAGUGCUAAGAAUCUGGACUAUUCGAAACGCCAUUUCCAAUCCCACCCCCCCACUACACAAACUGUUCAUUCAUUGGUAUCACUAUUGUCUUCCCUUCUAUGUUGACACAUUGGUCCGUGCUGCCAAUCUGCGUGAUUUGCAAGAGCUUGAUCUCCAUUUAUGUAAUUAUCAUCCUCAUCAACCUUUGGAGUUGCCCCAUAGUCUCUACUUUUCUACAACAUUGGUGGUUCUGAAAUUGGGGGGCUGAUAUUCGUCUCAAUCCUCCUUCUGCUUGUGUGUUCCCUUGUCUCAGGAUUCUACUACGAAAUUGUGUUACAUUUGCAAACCGUGACUCUCUCUCCACCAUCCUCAAUGGCUGCCCGGUCAUGUGGUUGGUAUUGAUUUGAAUAAUUUAGACGAGUUCAAUGUCAUUGUACUUGUAGCUACACUGAAAAGAUUACAUUUACAUUGGAAUGUUCAGCCUUCGUCGAAGUACAUAUUCCAGAUAAACACCCUAGCUCUCGAGUACUUUCAUUUCAGAGGUUAUUUGAACAGGGAUGAUGUGUUGGAAAAACUCCCGAAUGUGGUUGAAUGUGUCAUUCAAAUUGAGGACUGUGAGAAGAGUGAUGAUUAUGCAAAGAGAGUAUGGGACUUCAUGGGAAAACUCUAUAAUGUUAUAUCCAUGGAAUUGAGCAUAAUUACCGCACUGAUCGUCUUCCAUGGUUCUAAUCAUGAAGAUAUUCCCACAUUUCGUAAUUUGUCCUCCUUGAAUUUUUAUGGUGACAUUUGGUUUGACUGGAAUGCGUGGCAUGUGGUACACCUCUUGCUUUGUCAGGCUUCAAAGCUACAAAUGCUUACCUUUGAACAUUCAAUCUUGCUUGGCUUUAAUCUUUAUAAACCUAACCCUUGCUUGAAAGAGCCACUUAAUGUUCCUGAAUGUAUGUCAUCACACCUUACAACGUGUCAUUAUAAAGGAUUAAAAGGGACUACGAAAGACAUGGAACCUAUUAGAAAAAUCCUGGAGGCAGCAAGAGUAUUAAAGACAAUGAAAAUCACCUUACUCAGUUAUCUAGGCUCAAGGAGAAAGCUUUGUAUUCGCAAGGAAUUGAGGAAAUUUCAAAGGAGCUCUUAGAAUUGUCAAAUUGCAUUUGAUGAUGGACAAUUCAUAUGAUCUGGCAUUUUGGUUCAUUCCUCUUGGAUAUUGCAUGUCACAUGAUUUGCUUUAAUAUCUUUUGGUAUGGCUAUAUGCAUAUGUAAUUAGGUCCAUGUUUGUGUACUUCAUUUGCUGUUUUUCCUAUGUUGAGGUUAUUCCUAUGCUGCAGGGCAAAAUGCUUGAAGAUAUAAUUUGUAUUUGCUCUCUCCUUCAAUUAUUCUAGUUUUUUGUAAGCAUGUUUUUUAUUUGGGAUUUUUCCCCUUGAUAUAGAAACCAACCAAAAAAAAGAAAAAAUCAAUUUCUGGAUUAAAAGCCUACAUGGUGAACUGCAUAGAAAACAAUGGCAAGACAACAGCAUUAGGAAAAAGCCUGCUUCUUUUGGAUAGCUCUUUAGCAGAGGAUAAAAAGAUACAAUGCACACCUUUUCUUCUUUGAUGAACACAAUGCAUACCUUUUUAGCCUUUUAACAACAACGUAUUAUCAAUUAUUUCAACCUAGUCUGCAAGUUACAUGUCUAUAAGUCUCAAAUAUAUUUAGUCAUUCUGGAAUUAAAUUCUCAAGGAAAAGGGGAGGCGAUCAGGAAGGAGAAAAAGAAAAAUCAUGGCUUCUUUGUAGCUGAAUGUAAAUGAAACUUCAGAAGUUUCUUGCACUAGUGCAACCCAUACUUAAGCUUGUUAUCGGGUUUUUACUAAAUUUAAAGGACUAUUGUGUUUACAUGUUUGAUGAGACAACAUAUAAGCUUCUUGGGACUGUAUCAACCUUAUUAGUUAAAAUGUCAUUUAGGUAAUUCUAUAUUGAUUGCAUGCUAGCUAUGGAACCAUUCAACGUUAGAGAUAUUCUGGACAUAAGCCAUACACUGAAUGGUUAAUGAAUAUAAAGGUUGAAGGGUCAACUUUUAAGAUAAUGACUAAAGCUCUAUGUAUAAUUAGGAGGGUUGGAUACACAAUUGAGAUUUUGAACUGUAUGAUAAAUGAUGGGUUUUUUUUAAUUCAAAGAUUUGUUCUUUGAUAUUGAGAACUUUGCAUGAACAAGAGGGUUUGUGUUUUUUGGAAAACUUUUGUGGAAAGAAUGAAAAAGUUUGGUUUUUGUUCUGGGAUAAUGGAUUAUUCUAAAGUUAUAAGGUUUUUGGUAAAAGAAAGGAAGGGUUUUGAUGCUCUGGUGGUUUUGAAUCAGAUGAAAGUAUAUGGGAUUAAGCCCGACAUUGUUUGUUAUACUACGCUUUUGAAAGGGGAUUUUGGGAAAGCAGAUGGGGUGUUUAAUGAAUUGCUUGUGUUCGGUUUGGUUCCUGAUGUUUGUAUUUAUACUGUGUGUGUUUAUGGCUUGUGUAAGCAAAAUAGCGUGGAAGCUGGUAUUAAGAUUAUUGGUUCAAUCGAGGAGUUGGGGUGCAAAGUGCAAACCCAAUAUGAAAACUGCUUGUGUUGGGUUUGACAUUGUCUGUUAUACAAUGUGAUUAUUUACAAUAUAAUAUUGGAUGCAUUUUCUAAGGCUGGGAAGUUUACUAGGAUCUAGGAUGAGGGAGCUUGUUAGGGACAGGGAAAUAAGGGUGUUAAGUUCAACUUUCAGAUGUUUUGGAUUCUGCUGAAAGGUUUAACUGGUGAAGGUGAAAUUAUGGAAGCUUGUGUUUUGUCUGAGAAAACGUUGGACAAUUUGAACUGUCCUCGAUGUGAGAUAUUUUAUGAGGUAAUAUUUGGGUUGUGCCAAAAAGGAUUGGUUUGUAAUGCAAUGGAAUUGAUGCAGAAAAAUAAUUGGCAAGAAUGUUGCUCCUAGGACUGUGACCUGGAAUCCUUGCUCCUUAGCUUUGGAUCUGUACUGAACUUUACAGAGACUAUUUUGGCUGGUUUAACUCACCCCGUUAAUUGCUGGAACAGUGGCCUUGAAUUGGUGAAUGGUGAAUCAACUAUGAACUAACCCAUUUAUGUAUUUUUUCUCUUUUCUUUUACAUUUUUGGUUAUUCAAUUUUUUUUGUUUUGAUGUAAAGGAACCAUAAUAGCACUAAUUAAACAUCGGUGCAAAUGAGUCUGGGGAAAGUCACACACUCACACCCCAUGCUGGCCAUGCAUCAGCCUCAAGGUGGCUUCUAUCAAAAUUAGGGGGAUCAGAAUAUACAACAAAAGUGUGAGCUUGAUGGCAGCCUUAUUUUGUAAGAUCUGCACAAUAAUUUUUUUCCCUAUGUGAGUGGCACAAAUGAUUGGAGUCCAGAGCUGAUUAACGUAACUGUAAGCAGUCAAAAAUGUGGUUCAAACUAAUCAGGCUGUCGUUCACCUCUACUGAGGGAUGUAUAUUGUAUUAGAUCAUAUGUGAUUUGUGAACAAUUUUCAUGUUAAAUAUAUAAUAAAAUCACUUUCCUCCAUUUCAUGUUUAUGUAUAGCAUGUUUUGGCUUUCUUCUGUUCUUAUCAUCCAUGUCCUCUUUGAACUAAGAUAAAUGGAGCUUUUCAGUUCUUAGAAACUAUAUGAUGUGUUGAUUGUGAAAAGACUUUUACUAGAUGUCUAGCUUGAGAUUCUUUUAAGCACUGGUGUUGCUUUUGUUGUACUAGUACACCUUACACACAUUUUGCAUUUUUUUUUUUUUUGGGUGGAAGAGUCAGGACAAUCAAGUUGAAUUGGGUGCCUAGUAGUGAUAUCAUGACGCUAUCAUUUGAUAAAUACAGGUAGUAGAACCCAUCGAAUUUGCUUUUGAGAUCCACUUGACUAAAUUUUAUACUUAAGUUAUUUUUUGUUAAAAAAAAAAAAGGGUUGUUCACAUAUUAUUUAGAUAAAGUUCACUUUUAUUGGAAGAAGAUAUCACACGAUUAGAUACAUAUGAUAAAAUGACACUAUCUAAUGGUAAUUUACACAUGCCUCAAAAUUAGUAAUGUCAACUAAUUAUGCAAAGAGCAUUUGAACUAUGAAAGAAGCGAAACGUAAUAUGUAAUAAAAAAAAUAAAAAAAAAUAAAAAUUUACAAAGUGAAUGCUAAGAAUAAAAGAAGCACAAACAAGUCAAACCAAAAUUACAUAGAUAUCAUAAUUGUGUAGAUUGUAAACCAUAGAUGCUUCCAGUAGCAAUGCAUGCUAGCAACUACAAUUCUACAAGGUCCUGCAUUGCUAUAAGAAAUUCAUGGAUAGUUUCAAUUUGAAAAGAUUUUAUCCCCCUUUACAUCAAGUAAAAUUUUUACCAGCAUCUAAAUGUUCCAUUUAGAUACACAAUGGAACUAGGCUAUUUUAUACGAUUGCUGCCCUACAUUUGUCCAUCCUCACCAUAUUAUUCUCACACCAAAAUUAUUUUAGUUUUAAAUGAACCUUAAUAGUCCGUUUGAAUUGAGGGGGAGGGAGGGAGGGAGAAUAGAGUAAAGUAGAGUAAAUUUGGUUCAAAAUUAGUCUAUUUUUAGCCAAUUCUACUCUACUUUCCACCACUCUUCCUUCUUCUCUACUCUAUCCAAAUGGGCCCUAAGUGAAAGGCAUCACUUGAAGAUCUUCCAGUAUACAUUAAGGCAUAUUGUAAUUACAUGUUAACAUGUUUGCUAAAGAGAUGUCAUGACUUUCUUUGCCCUCUGUUGAUACCCAUUUUCGCGACACAUUUCGUACAAGCCCAAUUCAACCAAGCUCAACUUUCUUAUGGACUCAAUUUAUGUAUUAUAUUUUAUUUAUUCUUUUAAGCAUGGCCUAAGCCCAUGCGACAUAUCGGGGAAAUUGAGAAAGUGUGGUUUGGAGGGUAUGGGUCGGUUCCUUUCGGACCUUUUGCAUGAGCCCAGCCCAUGCGUGCUACCAAGUAGGCAAGGGACACUGGUAGCACCUCAGGCUCAUGGAGGAGGUCUUGUAUCCGAAAUUUUCACCCCAAAACAACUUUUAUGCUCUGGGUGACUGUGGCCCAACUUUUCUGCUCUACCAUUUUUUGCCUAAAACACAUAGCUGACCCUAAGUGGCUGACCUUGUCUGCUGCAACAACCAAAUGCAGACUCCAAGGGCUUGCCAUGUCUAGGAAACAUCAGCCCAUGAAUUUAGGUCACUCCAUUUCCCAAAUUAUGUACAAAGCAAGCCAACUCUCUUACCCAAUUAAAGCAAAUCUGACCAUAACCUCUUUGGUUGAGACCUUGGGGUUUAAAGCCUCUUCUAUUGACCAAAAACCAAUCACUAAAAGCACCCCAAACUCAAUAUAAAUUGGACAAUCAGAUUCAAAAGAAAGGAGGACGUUUUACUCUAAGAGCAACACCCCAAGCUCAAUACAAGAGUCUUUCUUCAACUAAAAAAACAACCAACCACGUUCUACCCACAGACCUGAAACUUCAGAGCAAAACCCCAGUCAACCAGUCAAUAAUCUCACAAUUCCGAAGCUUGGGGGUGGAAAUAUGGGUACAGGGGAACCUUCCCUCUCUUCGUCACGACCUCCCUCAAUUUCCUCUUCUGUGUGACUGCGGGUCGAAGUUUCAGACUUGUUAUGUUUUUAUACUUUUUCUGCACUUUUGUUGUUAGCAUUUUGAUUCUCUCUUGUCAAAGCACCAUUAGCCUUUGUUUUUUAUAUAUUGUGAAUUUUGGGCUUGAUUCUCCAUAAACAAACACUUCUAAAGAACCCAAGGGGAGAUUUGGGUUGUUUUCGCAUUUUUGGCCCUUGUCGCAAAAACGUCCCCGACACCCUCUAUUUAAAAUUUCAAAAACAGAUGAAAUUAGUAUUCUGAUAAAAGAUUAACACCUGGCUAUGGAUUAAGGCAUGUUACCAAAUCUUCACUUGAAAUAGGAGUAUAAAAAUAGCUCUAUUGGAAGGAUAAUGUCAAAUCUUACCAUAGGAAAACCUUGGGCUGCUUUAAGAACGCCUUCUUCUACUGCAAUUUACAAAAAUGGUAACUUUAGAAACCUAGUAAAAGAGCCUUGGAAUCAGAUUAUACUCUCUAUAAGAUUUGAUACAAGCUACUCGAUGGAUUGUAUUAAUUGUUCAAUUGUUCGGGACAAUUCAUCAAAGGCCAUCGUGAUAAAAUUUAAGCACAAUGUACUCUUUUUUUUUUUUUUUUAAUGAACAAAUAAUAAUUAAAACAAAGUUUAAAAACCCUACUCAAAUGCUAAUAACCUUAACGGCUUAACCGAAUCCGCUAAGAAAACGGAAUCAUCAAUCAACGAAUGACACCACUUAAACAAAACGCUGUGGCGUUUUGUGAUAGCUGUCUCUGGUAAAAUGAACGCUGCGUUUGGUAGCACUGUUACAGAUUAGCAAUGAGAUCUGCCUUUGUUGCUUGAGCCUUGAGAGCCACUUCUGUGAAAUACGAUCUCUCUGUGUGAGUAGAAACCCACCUACUUGACUCAGUGUUACUCAAAUUGGAUAGCAUGAAGCGGCAGAGGAUAGAAACAGAGGAGAGGGAGAGGCAGAGAAUUGAAAGAGCAGAGAGAGCACAAAGGAGAAAUGUGAGUAGUGAGACUUGCCUAUCAGCUGUUCGACAAAAUGCCCAAACUAAUACUGAUGACUACAAAGACAUAAUUAGCAAUCUACCGGACUCCCUACUCUGCCACAUCCUCUCCUUUCUCCCAAUCCGAGACUCUGUCUCAACAAGCAUUUUGUCGAGCAGGUGGAGGCCUCUCUGGACUCUUGUCCCUGUUCUUUACUUGGACCAGAGAGAACUUGGAGAAGAAUUGUUUGAUGAAAGCAAUGGGAAAUUUAAGUUUGUGGAUAUAGCGUCUAGAAUCAUGACUCUUCGAAAGAAUCGAAACACCAUUUUCAACCCCAUCCCCCCACUACACAAAUUGUGCAUUCAUUGGUAUUAUAGGUGUCUUCCCUUCUAUGUCGACAAAUGGGUCCGUGCCACCAAUAUGUGUGAUUUGCGAGAGCUUGAUCUCCACCUACGUACUUCUCCGCGUCAACCUAUGGAGUUGCCUCGUAGUCUCUACUUUUCUUCUACAUUAGUGGUUCUGAAAUUGGAGUUUGCAAUUCAUCUCAAUCCUCCUUCUGCUUUUGUUCUCCCUUGUCUCAGGGUUCUACAACUAAAAUGUGUUACAUUUGCAAACCGUGACUCUCUCUCCGCCAUCCUCAAUGCCUGCCCGGUUCUUCUAGAUUUGACCCUCCAUGUAGAUGAUAAAUGCUUGAAAAAUUUGAAUGAUUUCAAUGUCAUUGUACUUGUAGGUACGCUGAAAAGAUUACAUUUAAGUUGGAAUGUUCUGCCUUUGUCGAAGUACAGAUUCCAGAUAAACACCCCAGCUCUCGAGUACUUUCAUUUCCACGGUUAUUUGAGCGGGGAUGAUGUGUUGGAAAACCUCCCAAACGUGGUUGAAUCUGUCAUUCAAAUUGAGGAUUGUGAUUCAGUUAAUGAUUAUGCAAAGAGAGUAUGGGAUUUCAUGGGAAAAAUCUGUAAUGUUAUAUCCAUGGAAUUGACCACAAUUACUGGACAGAUCCUCUGCCAUGGUUUUAAUCAUGAAAAUAGUCCCACAUUUCAUAAUUUGUCCUCCUUGAAGUUUUGUGGUGACCUUUGGUAUGAGUGGUAUGUGUGGCAUGUAGUAUGGCUCUUGCUUCGUUGGGCUCCAGGGCUACAAACACUUGUCAUUGAACAUUCAUCUUGGCUUGGCUAUCUUAAUAAACGUAACCCUUUCUUGGAGGAGCCACUCGAUGUUCCUGAAUGUAUGUUAUCGCACCUUACAACUUGUGUUUAUAAAGGAUUUGGGGGGUAUGAGAACGAGAUGGAACUUGUUAGACAAAUCCUGAAGGCAGCAAAAGUACUAAAGAUAAUGAAAAUCAGUGUUUCCAGUUAUCCAAUCUUAGAGAAUAAGCCUCAUUUUCGCAGGGAAUUGAGCAAGUUUUACAGGGGCUCUCAGAAUUGUCAAUUUGUUUUUGACGAAGGACAUUUCAUAUGA
rnacentral:sRNA from 1 species